AGAAUGCUUUGCGCCUUGAAACUUUUCAAAAUGGCGUUUGAUAAACCAUCGGAGGGAUUCGUCUUUAAAUGGAGCAAGGAGAAAACGGAGGAGUUUAUCCGGCUGAGAGCAUCAAGAGAUGCACUGUUCACAGGGGCGAAGUACUCUGCCAUCUCGUCCUGGAAGUAAGCUUUUUUUUUUAUCUGCAUUUACCUGUUUUAUAAAUAAAACUUAAAUUACAGCUUUGAAAUAUCGACCGCAAAAAGCUCACCACACAAAGCA